rnacentral:rRNA from 1 species
AUUGAACGCUGGCGGCAUGCCUUACACAUGCAAGUCGAACGGCAGCACGGGAGCAAUCCUGGUGGCGAGUGGCGAACGGGUGAGUAAUGUAUCGGAACGUGCCCAGUCGUGGGGGAUAACGUAGCGAAAGCUACGCUAAUACCGCAUACGAUCUAUGGAUGAAAGCGGGGGAUCGCAAGACCUCGCGCGAUUGGAGCGGCCGAUAUCAGAUUAGGUAGUUGGUGGGGUAAAGGCCCACCAAGCCUGCGAUCUGUAGCUGGUCUGAGAGGACGACCAGCCACACUGGAACUGAGACACGGUCCAGACUCCUACGGGAGGCAGCAGUGGGGAAUUUUGGACAAUGGGCGCAAGCCUGAUUCAGCAAUGCCGCGUGCAGGAUGAAAGCCUUCGGGUUGUAAACUGCUUUUGUACGGAACGAAACGGCUUUUUCUAAUACAGAGAGCUAAUGACGGUACCGUAAGAAUAAGCACCGGCUAACUACGUGCCAGCAGCCGCGGUAA